rnacentral:rRNA from 1 species
GGAAUAUUGGACAAUGGGCGCAAGCCUGAUCCAGCCAUGCCGCGUGUGUGAAGAAGGCCUUCGGGUUGUAAAGCUCUGUCGGGAGGGACGAAAGGGGCAACCCUUGACGGUAUCUCGCAAGAAAGCACCGGCUAACUUUGUGCCAGCAGCCGCGGUAAUACAGAGGGUGCAAGCGUUGCUCGGAUUUACUGGGCGUAAAGCGUACGCAGACGGUGAGAAAGGUCGGAUGUGAAAGCCCCGGGCUCAACCCGGGAACUGCAUCCGAAACCAUCUCGCUAGAGUAUGGGAGAGGGAAGCGGAAUUCCUGGUGUAGAGGUGAAAUUCGUAGAUAUCAGGAGGAACACCUGCGGCGAAGGCGGCUUCCUGGCCCAUUACUGACGUUCAGGUACGAAAGCGUGGGUAGC